CCGUCGUUCCAAAGCAUUGCCGCCGCCGCCGCCGCCCUUUCUGUCGUUCCGAUCAAGAGAUCUGGCGGCGGCCCCAAUCCAUUCAAGCAGCCAACGCCAGGAACUGCUAACCGCUGCGGCGCGCCGAGCCGGCCGACGUCUCCCUGCCCCACCGCCACUGCAGCGCCUCCCUCCGCCAAGCAGCCGGCGACGCCCAGCAACGCCGGCGAGCACUCCGUGGACAGAAGAGACAGAUCAGUCAUAAUGUGGCCAAGUUCAAAUUAGUUUCCCUAGACCUACUUCUGUUUUGGGCCUUGCAAUUGGCCGAUAUAUAAGAUGCAGAGGGAAGGAUGCUACUGGUGAGGAAGUAGUCAAGCCUUAUACUCCAAAUACACUGGAUUUUGAUAUUGGAUACUUUGAGCUUGUUUUAAAGGAAGACAUGGCCGAUGCAAGUGCAGAGUGUUUGGAUGAGUACGUAAACAUUGUCAGC